rnacentral:rRNA from 1 species
GAUGAACGCUGGCGGCGUGCCUAAUACAUGCAAGUCGAGCGAACAGAUGAGGAGCUUGCUCCUCUGACGUUAGCGGCGUACGGGUGAGUAACACGUGGAUAACCUACCUAUAAGACUGGGAUAACUUCGGGAAACCGGAGCUAAUACCGUAUAAUAUAUUGAACCGCAUGGUUCAAUAUUGAAAGACGGUUUUGCUGUUACUUAUAGAUGUAUCCGCGCCGCAUUAGCUAGUUGGUAAGGUAACGGCUUACCAAGGCAACGAUGCGUAGCCGACCUAAGAGGGUGAUCGGCAACACUGGAAAUGAGACAAGGUCCAGAAUCCGAAGGGAGGCAGCAGUCGGGAAUCUUCAGCAAUGGGCGAAAGCAUGACGGAGCAACGCGGCGUGAGUGAUGAAGGUCUUCGCAUCGUAAAAAUCUGUUCUUAGGGAAGAACAAAUGUGUAAGUAAAUAUGCAAGUAUUGACGGUACCUAAUAAGAAAGCCACGGCUAACUCCGUG